ACCUACGGGACGCAGCAGUAGGGAAUUUUCGUCAAUGGGCGCAAGCCUGAACGAGCAAUGCCGCGUGAACGAGGAAGGUCUUCGGAUCGUAAAGUUCUGUUGAAGGGGAAAAAGAGCGGAGAGAGGAAAUGCUUUCUGAUUGAUAUUACCCUUCGAGGAAGUCACGGCUAACUACGUGCCAGCAGCCGCGGUAAUACGUAGGUGGCGAGCGUUAUCCGGAAUGAUUGGGCGUAAAGGGUGCGUAGGCGGCCUGCUAAGUCUGGAGUGAAAGGUGCCGGCUCAACCGGUACAGGCUCUGGAAACUG
rnacentral:rRNA from 1 species